UGCCAGCAGCCGCGGUAAUACGAAGGGUGCUAGCGUUGUUCGGAAUUACUGGGCGUAAAGAGCAUGUAGGCGGAUGAAUUAGUCAGAGGUGAAAGCCCCGAGCUCAACUUGGGAACUGCCUUUGAUACUGUUUAUCUAGAGUCCGAGAGAGGUUAGUGGAAUUCCCAGUGUAGAGGUGAAAUUCGUAGAUAUUCGCAGGAACACCAGUGGCGAAGGCGGCCAUCUGGACGGUGACUGACGCUGAGACGCGAAAGCGUGGGGAGCAAACAGGAUUAGAUA
rnacentral:rRNA from 1 species